CUGGAGGUAUCAGAAGUGCGAAUGCUGACAUAAGUAACGAUAAAGCGGGUGAAAAGCCCGCUCGCCGGAAGACCAAGGGUUCCUGUCCAACGUUAAUCGGGGCAGGGUGAGUCGACCCCUAAGGCGAGGCCGAAAGGCGUAGUCGAUGGGAAACAGGUUAAUAUUCCUGUACUUGGUGUUACUGCGAAGGGGGGACGGAGAAGGCUAUGUUGGCCGGGCGACGGUUGUCCCGGUUUAAGCGUGUAGGCUGGUUUUCCAGGCAAAUCCGGAAAAUCAAGGCUGAGGCGUGAUGACGAGGCACUACGGUGCUGAAGCAACAAAUGCCCUGCUUCCAGGAAAAGCCUCUAAGCAUCAGGUAACAUCAAAUCGUACCCCAAACCGACACAGGUGGUCAGGUAGAGAAUACCAAGGCGCUUGAGAGAACUCGGGUGAAGGAACUAGGCAAAAUGGUGCCGUAACUUCGGGAGAAGGCACGCUGAUAUGUAGGUGAAGUCCCUCGCGGAUGGAGCUGAAAUCAGUCGAAGAUACCAGCUGGCUGCAACUGUUUAUUAAAAACACAGCACUGUGCAAACACGAAAGUGGACGUAUACGGUGUGACGCCUGCCCGGUGCCGGAAGGUUAAUUGAUGGGGUCAGCGCAAGCGAAGCUCUUGAUCGAAGCCCCGGUAAACGGCGGCCGUAACUAUAACGGUCCUAAGGUAGCGAAAUUCCUUGUCGGGUAAGUUCCGACCUGCACGAAUGGCGUAAUGAUGGCCAGGCUGUCUCCACCCGAGACUCAGUGAAAUUGAACUCGCUGUGAAGAUGCAGUGUACCCGCGGCAAGACGGAAAGACCCCGUGAACCUUUACUAUAGCUUGACACUGAACAUUGAGCCUUGAUGUGUAGGAUAGGUGGGAGGCUUUGAAGUGUGGACGCCAGUCUGCAUGGAGCCGGCCUUGAAAUACCACCCUUUAAUGUUUGAUGUUCUAACGUUGACCCGUGAUCCGGGUUGCGGACAGUGUCUGGUGGGUAGUUUGACUGGGGCGGUCUCCUCCUAAAGAGUAACGGAGGAGCACGAAGGUUGGCUAAUCCUGGUCGGACAUCAGGAGGUUAGUGCAAUGGCAUAAGCCAGCUUGACUGCGAGCGUGACGGCGCGAGCAGGUGCGAAAGCAGGUCAUAGUGAUCCGGUGGUUCUGAAUGGAAGGGCCAUCGCUCAACGGAUAAAAGGUACUCCGGGGAUAACAGGCUGAUACCGCCCAAGAGUUCAUAUCGACGGCGGUGUUUGGCACCUCGAUGUCGGCUCAUCACAUCCUGGGGCUGAAGUAGGUCCCAAGGGUAUGGCUGUUCGCCAUUUAAAGUGGUACGCGAGCUGGGUUUAGAACGUCGUGAGACAGUUCGGUCCCUAUCUGCCGUGGGCGCUGGAGAACUGAGGGGGGCUGCUCCUAGUACGAGAGGACCGGAGUGGACGCAUCACUGGUGUUCGGGUUGUCAUGCCAAUGGCACUGCCCGGUAGCUAAAUGCGGAAGAGAUAAGUGCUGAAAGCAUCUAAGCACGA
rnacentral:rRNA from 1 species